GACGAACGCUGGCGGCGUGCCUAAUACAUGCAAGUAGGACGCAGUUGCGAACGGGUGAGUAACGCGUAGGUAACUACCUAUUAGAGGGGGAUAACUAUUGGAAACGAUAGCUAAUACCGCAUACUAGUAGAUGGACCUGCGUUGUAUUAGCUAGUAGGUAGGGUAAUGGCCUACCUAGGCAACGAUACAUAGCCGACCUGAGAGGGUGAUCGGCCAACAUGGGAACGAGACACGGCCCAGACGUCCAACGGAGGCAGCAGGAGGGAAUCUUCGGGAAUGGGGGGAACCCUGACCGAGCAACGCCGCGGUAGGGAAGAAGGUUUUCGGAUCGUAAAGCUCUGUUGUUAAGGAAGCGGUACUUAACCAGAAAGGGACGGCUAACUACGUGCCAGCAGCCGCGGUAAUUC
rnacentral:rRNA from 1 species